AGCGAAUUCACGAAACACACUUUGUAAACAGAUAUUUAUUGCCUGCAAGAUAAAUAGUCAAAAUACAUCAGAUUUAUUGAUGCCUUGAGAAUAUGGUAUUAUGGCAGUUUAGAAAGGAACUGUGAGCAAAAUCACUGCAGGAACUGACUGUGGAUUGGUCUGCGAGGAGAGUGGGAAAAGCAGAACCACAGGAAAUAUACAGAAGACAUAAUGUUUAGGAUAACAUGACUAAACCAGAUGCAGUGCAGCUUUUGUAGCAAACAGGUUCAACAGGAAUGUACAUCAAAUGCCUAAAAUUUAUUUAAAAUAAUAAAGAAAAGUAUUUUAUAAAGUAAGGGAGAAAGAAAUACUUUUGCAAUGAGGAGGGGGAUAAUCCAAUCUACUUCUGCAUUUUGUCAGGGAAGAAUGCCAAAGCCUGGGUCCAUGACUUUCUUCAAGCAAAACAUUUCCUCACAUGUAUUCUUCAAGCAACUACUAGAACUGCACAAUGCAACUACAAUACCACUACCCCUGGCUAGCCACGGUCUUCAAGUGUCAGCCAACAGAAGAGCAAGCAGAAAAACUUUCACCUUCCAAUCUGGACACAACUGCCCUGCCGCAUUCCUAAAGUGGGCUGACAAGUUUUUCUUAUUGAAAGAGUUGAAAAUUUGAAGAUAUUUCUUAGAAAGAGCAUUUUCUUGCAAGUAAAGGAAAUUAACACUGAUUUUAGAGAUGCUAUGUUUUAAUGUCCUGACCUGAGAGUGUGAAUUGGCC
rnacentral:lncRNA from 1 species